UACGGAGGGUGCGAGCGUUGUCCGGAAUCACUGGGCGUAAAGGGCGCGUAGGCGGCGCGGGCAGUCAACGGUGAAAGCUUGGGGCUCAACCCCGAGUCGGCCGUCGAUACUCCCGUGCUGGAGCACUGUAGAGGCAGGUGGAAUUCCGGGUGUAGCGGUGGAAUGCGUAGAGAUCCGGAAGAACACCGGUGGCGAAGGCGGUUCUCUGGGCCUGUACUGACGCUGAGGAGCGAAAGCGUGGGGAGCGAACAGG
rnacentral:rRNA from 1 species